CCCUUAGAUGUUCUGGGCUGCACGCGCGCUACACUGAUGCGAUCAACAAGUUUUUCCUAUGUCGAUAGACACGGGUAAUCUUUUGAACUCGCAUCGUGAUGGGGAUAGAUUAUUGUAAUUAUUAAUCUUCAACGAGGAAUUCCUAGUAGGCGCAAGUCAUCAGCUUGCGUCGAUUACGUCCCUGCCCUUUGUACACACCGCCCGUCGCUCCUACCGAUUGGGUGUGCUGGUGAAAUGUUCGGAUCGGCCGUUUGUCGCGGUUUCCGCGUCAUGUGGCUGAGAAGUUCAUUAAACCCUCCCACCUAGAGGAAGGAGGAGUCGUAACA
rnacentral:rRNA from 1 species